rnacentral:rRNA from 1 species
CUUAGGCGUGUGACUGCGUACCUUUUGUAUAAUGGGUCAGCGACUUAUAUUCUGUAGCAAGGUUAACCGAAUAGGGGAGCCGAAGGGAAACCGAGUCUUAACUGGGCGUUAAGUUGCAGGGUAUAGACCCGAAACCCGGUGAUCUAGCCAUGGGCAGGUUGAAGGUUGGGUAACACUAACUGGAGGACCGAACCGACUAAUGUUGAAAAAUUAGCGGAUGACUUGUGGCUGGGGGUGAAAGGCCAAUCAAACCGGGAGAUAGCUGGUUCUCCCCGAAAGCUAUUUAGGUAGCGCCUCGUGAAUUCAUCUCCGGGGGUAGAGCACUGUUUCGGCAAGGGGGUCAUCCCGACUUACCAACCCGAUGCAAACUGCGAAUACCGGAGAAUGUUAUCACGGGAGACACACGGCGGGUGCUAACGUCCGUCGUGAAGAGGGAAACAACCCAGACCGCCAGCUAAGGUCCCAAAGUCAUGGUUAAGUGGGAAACGAUGUGGGAAGGCCCAGACAGCCAGGAUGUUGGCUUAGAAGCAGCCAUCAUUUAAAGAAAGCGUAAUAGCUCACUGGUCGAGUCGGCCUGCGCGGAAGAUGUAACGGGGCUAAACCAUGCACCGAAGCUGCGGCAGCGACGCUGAUGCGUUGUUGGGUAGGGGAGCGUUCUGUAAGCCUGCGAAGGUGUGCUGUGAGGCAUGCUGGAGGUAUCAGAAGUGCGAAUGCUGACAUAAGUAACGAUAAAGCGGGUGAAAAG